AAUAGAUACCCAGGUAGUCCACACCGUAAACGUUGGGCGCUAGGUGUGGGACUCAUUCCACGAGUUCCGUGCCGCAGCUAACGCAUUAAGCGCCCCGCCUGGGGAGUACGGCCGCAAGGCUAAAACUCAAAGGAAUUGACGGGGGGCCCGCACAAGCGGCGGAGCAUGCGGAUUAAUUCGAUGCAACGCGAAGAACCUUACCUAGGUUUGACAUAUACGAGAAGCCUCUAGAGAUAGAGGUCUCUUUGGACACUUGUAUACAGGUGGUGCAUGGCUGUCGUCAGCUCGUGUCGUGAGAUGUUGGGUUAAGUCCCGCAACGAGCGCAACCCUCGUCUUAUGUUGCCAGCACGUAAUGGUGGGGACUCAUAAGAGACUGCCGGGGUCAACUCGGAGGAAGGUGGGGAUGACGUCAAGUCAUCAUGCCCCUUAUGCCUAGGGCUUCACGCAUGCUACAAUGGCUGGUACAAAGGGCUGCGAUACCGCAAGGUGGAGCGAAUCCCAAAAAGCCAGUCUCAGUUCGGAGUU
rnacentral:rRNA from 1 species